NNNNNNNCUAUAAGCACAUUGGAACCCAGUGAAGUCAUCUUGCUGAUGGCUGGGACCUAACCAAAUAAGGAAAAGAAUGUGGGAUACUGUAUUCUUAGUACAAGACCAGCAAUGGUAUUCGGGAGUAAAAAACCGCUUUGGUUGGAGGUGCAAUAUGCUCUUCGAUGUAAACAGACACCAGGACAGGCACGAUAAGAGGCUCUGCAGAAAUGCAUCCCGCGUGAUGAUGUUGGCGUAGGAAACCAAUAUCUGCGUUCCUAAAGGAAGUGCUCGGCUUGAUGGUAAGUAAUUACCUAUAACUGACUUGGUGUGCUCCUGUAGGGGAAUGCCGAAAUAUUAGCUUAUAUGAGAUAAGAUUUUUGCUGAAGCUCCCUGAAGGUUGGAGGAUAAUCUAAACUCCUCCCUAGAUUCUGGUUAGCAAUAACCCAUUCCAGAAGUAUUAGGGUCGCUCCCUUUUGCUCAGCCUGGCGUGCUAGUGUGUGAAUAACAAAUUAGAGUAAGUAUUGUAUGACGAAGGUCGCCAAUGCUUUUUUUAUUAAA
rnacentral:ncRNA from 1 species